CAGCACCCCGAGUGGUCGGGACGAUUAUUGGGCCUAAAGCAUCCGUAGCCGGUUUUACAAGUCCCCCGUUAAAUCCAACUGCUUAACAGAUGGGCCGCGGAGGAUACUAUAAGACUAGGAGGCAGGAGAGGCAAGCGGUACUCAGUGGGUAGGGGUAAAAUCCGUUGAUCCAUUGAAGACCACCAGUGGCGAAGGCGGCUUGCCAGAAUGCGCUCGACGGUGAGGGAUGAAAGCUGGGGGAGCAAACCGGAUUAGAUACCCGGGUAGUCCCAGCUGUAAACGAUGCAGACUCGGUGAUGGACUAGCUUAAUGCUAGUCCAGUGCCGCAGGGAAGCCGUUAAGUCUGCCGCCUGGGUAGUACGGUCGCAAGACUG
rnacentral:rRNA from 1 species